UUGAUGUCAGCACCAUUAUUGACUGUAUACAGGUUUUUUUGAUCUUGAAAGUAUUUUCCGCAGAUUAUCAUUGCCGAAACAGACAGUGAUUGAAGCUCGUGAGUGAGAUGAAGAUUGCGGUGUGUGUUUGUGCAGGAGAUAUAUGAUGGGUGAGUGUGAUUAUACAAUAAAUGAGCAGAUGUGGGUGAAGAGCUUGAUUAUGAGUGAAUGUUUGACUUUGAUGUAGUGGUGAAAGAAUGACCAAGUAAAAGAAAACAACUUUCCCUUUAAUGGGCCCAUGAAACUCUGUCUGAUUGGACGGAAUGACGUAAAGCAGGCAUGAGUCAGUCGUGAUUGAAGGAACAUGAGCAUGUGUGUAAGGGACAUGGAGUGGUUGGGGUGGAGGUGCUAGUAUCAGCUCACAAUAAAGACUGAUUGUUAGUGCGUGAGAGUGCACAUGAUGUGCGUGGGAGAGGAAGCGGGUGUGUGUGCACAUUUGAGCAUGACCGUGGAUAUAAGAACUUGUGUGUGUGUGUGCGCGCAAAAUGGCACAUUUUCAUUCAUUUUGUGUGUGGGAAUAAGCCUGCAUGUGAUUGCCUUGCAUCUCUGUGUGCGGGACCUGAUCCACGGCGCUGUAUGGUAAACAGGAACGUUUUCCCUGGAAGGAGGAAUUUCCCCCAGCAGCCCCCUAUAGCAGUAAUGGUGGUGGUAAUGAGCUGCAGCUGUCAGAGCUCUUUCCGCCUCUCGUCCCUGAUUCAUGUUCCUGCCGCACAACAUCUACAACUGGAACAAAUGUUUACCCCAAUGAAAACCAGACAAACACGGCCAGCCCGGCUCACAGCUCCUAACGGAAUAACUAAUAGCCCCGGCUCGGUUUUAGCGCUAAUAAUGAUGCAAGUGAGCUCUGAAAUGCAGACCUUCAAGGUCAACGGAACUGACCAUCAAACAAGGCUAUCGUUAUUUUAAGACGCUGGUGUUGCUGAGACUUAAUUGACCAAAGUAUUAUAUUUUUGAUAUUAUUUACCACUUGUUUUUGUGUAAAAGAAAAUGUUUCGAGUGCAGGGAUUCUUUAAAGAAAUGCAGAAUUCAAUGCAUCCAUAUAAUGUUUCGUAAAAUCCAGCUUUCCAAUCAAGGCAUAUGUGUGUUUUUAUAGAGCAGAUGGAGCUUGACUCAUUCUGGCUUCCUGACUGGGUUUCCUCCCAGUAUUCUGCUCCCAUGAGGUUGAUAUUACUAGAGAGCACAAUCUAUAUCCAUUGGAAUGAGUGUCAUGAUUCAGGGAUUGAGAUGAGUAAAUGAUUGUGCCUGAGCUGGAAUGGGAUAAUCUGAAAUGUGUUUUCAUAUAACUUUUUAUAACUUGCUGUCAUUGUUCUGCUGUUUAAAUAUAGCUGCUGUCUUUUUACAUUCCGCUUGUCCAUUUUUCCCUUCUGCAAAUGGCAUUCUUUUUUAUUGUGGCUGUUUUACCUUCUUCUAUUCAUUAUGAAGAAUAGAAUGCAUUAAGUGAUGUAGGGAGAUAAAGCGCCUCAGAGUGUGUUUGUGUGUUUACCCCAUGCGGCCACUAAUGCUACGGCUGUGUGCCAGCGAUGACAUUAAUCCAUUAAUCACACUUUUUUUUGUGUAUUUGUGCAGGCCUGCUUUAUUAAUUAAAUGUGAUGUAACGCUGACACAACCUCUCUCUGUCGGACUUCCUUCCUCAUUAAACACAAAAACUGCCAUCAGCCGCCUGUCAAAAGACCCCACCCUGGAAAUCAGACUCUGGAAACUGUAAAAGACAUGGUAACUGUGACACAAGAAGGAGGGGGAGAUUAGAAGUUCUGAAGCAAAAUUAUAAGGGUUUACAAACAAGCAAGGGGUGCUGGAGAGAGAAAAAAAAAAAAAAAGAUCAACCUUUCUUCGUCAUUCCCUCUCUCUUUCUGUUGUCUUGUCAACCGUGUGAGAGCCACUUCACUAUCUGGUGUUUAUCUUACACUGACAUUCUCUGCUCCAUCUAUUUUUCAGCCCUCCUAAGCAGAAGCCUCACCUCGAAACACUCUAGGAGAGUCUAAUGACAGAGAGAUAAAGUGAGAGAAAGGGGUGAGAAGGUAACAGAGCUCCACACUCCUCUGCAAAACAACUCUUCACUCCUACACAGCAGAGCAAAUUUACACUACUGCACAUCAUUGGAGAACCAGUGAGAAGUGAAUAUCCGAAGAAUCAGAUUGAUAACGCUUGUAUAUGAUUGAAUUCAGACUCUCCAUACACACAGACCUUGAGGGGGACUCGCACAGAAGCUCUUCGGGGGGUUGUUAGCUGUGAGCUUAGCCACCACAAGGGCUCCAGCUCACACACUAAUUAUUUUCAUAGUCAGCCGGGUGUGCAGAGCUGGCCUGCGAGUUGUGCAAAUGCUUAUUUAAGCUGUGUAACUGACAUCCAUAUGGUUUUUAUCACCAUGAAGAAACGUUUGAACUGGUUAUGUUUCAUGCGGCCAAGGCUCUGACCUGUCUGUCAGAAACACUCAUACGUGUUGCGUCUUUGGGAAAUUCUAUUCCUUAAUGUUCUGGAUCAGCAUGUUUUUCCUUCACUGAGUCACUGUUGUACUGUAAAAGUGUUAAUAAAAACUAAACCUCAUUUGGCAUUUUUAGUGCUGUCUUUUUUACUUUUUGGAAUGAUUGAACGUUUU